GGCUACGUUCGGUUGGGACCCAGGCUAGCACCUGACUGCUUUCUUUUGAAAAGUGAGUGGCGCGAACGCGAAGUGAAGGAGCCAGGAGUCGCAAGGAGAGGACACACGGGAGGAAAGAGACGUAUCCAAGUCCAGGUGUGAGGUUCCAGUGCAGCCAGUGCGGGAGAGUUUCCCAAAGACACUCCAGGGAGGAGCCAGGAGAAGCUUCCGCAGCGACUGGUACAAAUCUCAUCCCUGGUUAGAAUACUCACAAUCUAAAGACGCAUCUUACUGUUUUGCCUGUAGGCAUUUUUCCCUUCCCGAUGCUCCAAGGACUGUUUUCACCUCAUUCGAGGGUUAUCAAAACUGGAAAAAGGCUACAAUGAAAGACAGUGGUUUCUGUUCUCAUGCCAGAUCUGAAAGCCAUGUAAAUGCAAUGUUUGCAUGGACAGAGAACAAUAAAAUGAAGGAUAAAAAUA